GAUCCAGGACAGGCAAAAAAAAAAAAAAAAGAAAGAAAGAAAGAAAGAAAGAAAAGAAGAAAAACUUAAUAGUUGAAUGGAGACCUGCUUCCCCACUAAUUUCUACGUGUGUUUAAGUACGCAUAUGUGUACGCCUUGCGCAUGCACAGUACACAUCUAUCAGUCAUUUAACUGCCUCCCGUCCGUCCGUCCGUCCGUCCUGGUGCUCCAUCUGAUGGUUGUACUAUUCCUUAACCACUGCUGCUAGUAGAUUCACGCAGUUCAUAAUUCUUUGCUAUUCAAGGUGUUGCAGGCAAGCCCUUGAACAGCACAUGGAGUCAGUGGCUGGUGCAAGCCUUGAACUGUUUUUCCAGAAGCAAGCGUGGUCAUGUCAGAUGAGCACAAGUCUGGAAUCAGAAGGAACAGGCUGAGGAGAGGUGCUGUGACUCAGCAGAGCUGAGAUACAUUCCUGAGGAAUUAAAAAUGAAUGACAGAGGACAGAAGACAGAGCAGCCGUCAGAUCUCCUCCUAGACAUCAGAAGAGACAAACCGCCACUGUUAGAAAGAGUGACGGGAAAGAUCCCAGCAUAAAGAUUCAUGGUGGCACCAGGACAGAGGUGGGCUGUGAAUGUCAGCUGUAGUUAGCAGCUGUCUGAACCUGUGAGAAUCAUCAGUUUUGGCUUGGGGAGGGAAUUCCCUGAGGAUAUACCCUUGGAACCCCAAAGUGAGUCUCCUAGCACAUUCUCUGAAAACGCCGCCUCACAUUCACUCAGCUACAUCAGUGAGAGCUCUCGUCUCUAAGCACGUGUACUGUGUUGUGUGUAAACCUCCAACCUGAUCAGGACUGCCUGCGGCUGGAAACCUCAUCUCAGGAGUCCUGAGCUGUGGCUAGAGGAGCCCUGCAGCUGCGUCUACCUCAGGAGCUGCAAGAGACGACAUGAGUCUCCCAGCAGAGCAGCACCACGGGCUGUCUACACUGCAGACUGACGGUGGCAGCAGCCAGAUAGAGAGCUGCCGGGCUGGAAACAUGUGACGAACAGGAGGGGCGGAUACCAACCAAUCAACAUGGCAAACAGUGACAGCCAGACAAAGCUGCUUUUAAAACAUCACCUCACCUGGCAACUGGAUUCAUGCAACAAAUUCAGUCGACUGCGAUUGAUUCAUUCAUUAAUUCAAUAAAUAUGGGUGUGCUUGCUAGAUGCACCCGGAAGCAAACCA